GCAGGGUGUGAGGGAGCAGACAGGGUGCUGCCCUAGCCCUUGGGAUGGCUGCAGGGGAGAAAGCCCAGCCAGCUUGCUUCUUCCCUCAGCUUCCACCCAGUGGAACAGCCUUGGGCAGCUGCUUCUCUACAAAGAGCCUGGGACAAAGGUUAGCACCUCCAGGGCACAUUGUCAGGCCUUGUCCCUAUUCCUCUUAACCUUUUAUUGCAGGCCUUAGCACCCAGGGGUGACCCUGCGUUUCCUUCCUCUCUAACAUAAUGGGCCACUGGCUUCCAGCUGUCCCUGCUUGAAGACCCUAAGGCCUUCUUGGUCCUGACCCCCUGGGUAGAACUAGAGCCUCCUGCAGCCUCCUGCAGCCAGCAGAUUCCCCCUCUGCCACUGGAUCCUCAGGGAGAUGUCAAUAACUGCCCUUCUGCUACAGCCCUGGGCUUCCUCAAAGGAAUGAAGAACCUUCUAGGUGGGGAGUCGCAAUUUUGCAGCCUUGGGAUUAGGAAGAAGACUGGGUAAGCUGACAGGCCUAAGGCACCUGCUCUCCAGUCUUGAGGAUGCAGUUCUGGCCCAUGGCCUUUCAGCCACCCCCCUCCACAUAGAGUCCCGUGAGGAGCAAGGAGCACUGCCAGCAGCAGCGACCAGGGACUAGCCUCCUUGUAAAUCAAGAGUCUGUGAUGCCUCAGCUGCAUCUCAACUGCAGUCCGGAUUUAUAGCUUUCAUGGCCCACACCACUUUGAGGGAAUUCACACUGCUUUGGAGACUCACACUGCUGACACCAGCCCCAGGACACCAACAGCCAUCAGGCCUUAAUUGACUGACAGGUUGAUUUUCAGCAGGAGUUGUCAGCACUAGCAAAAAGACAUACAUACAGGCAGAAAGACUGAGAGUGAGUUCACAAAGUACCAUAGCCUCAGCCAGAAUAAGAGAAAGGAUUAAGCCUGUUGCCCAGUGAUAAGCCCAAGAGCAGAUUCCCCCUUCUGAACCUUCACACUUUCCCAACAGCUGGAACUCCCCCACCUCCUCUCACCAAAAGCCUCACCCUUAUUUUGAAACCAGCUUCUAGGGAACCAGUCUUGGGUCUUGCUGUUUGACUAAUCCUAGUGGACCUGUCUGACCAUGUUCAGCAAGCACAGCACUGCUGUUGCUGUGUAUUAGCAACAUUUGACUCUCUUGUGUUCAAAAGAGCAUUUUUCACUCAGCAAAGCCAGAGUGCCAGCUCCAGACUUUUUUCUGUGAUACAUCAGCAGGUGAUGGAGAGGUGUCACAGUUCAAUUGCCACCAGACCUUCCCCACCAUGAUGAACUCUCUAUCCCCUCAGAGCAGAAGUAAAUCCUUUCUCCUGUAAGUUGCUUCUUUCAGGCAUUUUAUCAUGGCCUGGAGAAAAGUAAUCACAACCUAGAAUCACAUAGGAGAGAGUUUUAAUGAGGGAUUGUCUAGAUCAGAUUGGCCUGUGGCCAUGUCUGUGAGGGGUUGUCUUAUGCCUUAAUUGAUGUGGGAAGAUCCAGCCUGAAAGUGGGCAGCCUCAUUCC